UGGAGAAUCGUCUAACGGCAGGACAGUGGACUCUGACUCCGCUAAUCUAGGUUCGAAUCCUAGUUCUCCAGCCA
rnacentral:tRNA from 1 species